rnacentral:rRNA from 1 species
GAUGAACGCUGGCGGCGUGCCUAAUACAUGCAAGUCGAGCGAACAGACGAGGAGCUUGCUCCUCUGACGUUAGCGGCGGACGGGUGAGUAACACGUGGAUAACCUACCUAUAAGACUGGGAUAACUUCGGGAAACCGGAGCUAAUACCGGAUAAUAUAUUGAACCGCAUGGUUCAAUAGUGAAAGACGGUUUUGCUGUCACUUAUAGAUGGAUCUGCGCCGCAUUAGCUAGUUGGUAAGGUAACGGCUUACCAAGGCAACCAUGCGUAGCCGACCUGAGAGGGUGAUCGGCCACAUGAGAACUGAAACACGGUCCAGACUCCUAAGGGAGGCAGCAGAAGGGAAUCUUCCGCAGUGGGCGAAAGCCUGACGGAGCAACGCCACGUGAGUGAUGAAGGUCUUCGGAUCGUAAAACUCUGUUAUUAGGGAAGAACAAAUGUGUAAGUAACUAUGCACGUCUUGACGGUACCUAAUCAGAAAGCCACGGCUAACUACGUG